AACGUAGGUUCCGAGCGUUAUCCGGAUUUACUGGGCGUAAAGCGCGUUCAGGCGGUUUUGUAAGUCGGGCAUGAAAUCUCUCGGCUCAACCGGGAGAGGUUGUCCGAUACUUCCAGACUUGAGGGCAGUAGAGGGUGGUGGAAUUCCGGGUGUAGUGGUGAAAUGCGUAGAUAUCCGGAGGAACACCAGUGGCGAAAGCGGCCACCUGGACUGCACCUGACGCUGAGACGCGAAAGCUAGGGGAGCGAACGGG
rnacentral:rRNA from 1 species